rnacentral:rRNA from 1 species
UACGAAGGGGGCUAGCGUUGCUCGGAAUCACUGGGCGUAAAGCGCACGUAGGCGGAUUGUUAAGUCAGGGGUGAAAUCCUGGAGCUCAACUCCAGAACUGCCUUUGAUACUGGCGAUCUCGAGUCCGGGAGAGGUGAGUGGAACUGCGAGUGUAGAGGUGAAAUUCGUAGAUAUUAGGAAGAACACCAGUGGCGAAGGCGGCUCACUGGCCCGGUACUGACGCUGAGGCGCGAAAGCGUGGGGAGCAAACAGG